rnacentral:lncRNA from 1 species
AUUUAGGAUUGGUUAGGAUUUGAUUUAAGAUUUAGAAUUUGAACAAAAUUUAGUUAGGAUUUGGUUUAGGAUUUAAGAUUUUCUUAAGAUUUGGUUAAGAUUUUGAUUUAGGAUUUAUAAUUUGGUUAGGAUUUGAUAUAAUAUUUAGGAUUUAAUUAAGAUUUAUCUAGAAUAUAGGUUAAGAUUUAGGAUUGAUUAAGAUUUGAUUAAGGAUUUUAGAUAUGAUUAGGAUUUUUUUUAGGAUUUAAGAUUUGAUUAGAAUUUGUCUAGGAUUUGAUUUAGAGUUCAAGAUUUGAUUAGGAUUUGGAGUUUGAUUGAAGACUAUUAGAAUUUCAAUUAAGAUUAAAUUAGAACUUAGU